rnacentral:rRNA from 1 species
GAUUAAGUGUCGUAAGGGCAUUUGGUGGAUGCCUUGGCAUGCACAGGCGAUGAAGGACGUGAUACGCUGCGAAAAGCCGUGGGGAGCUGCGAAUAAGCUUUGAUCCAUGGAUCUCCGAAUGGGGAAACCCACCUUAAGAUACUUGGGAAAUCAUUCUGGUUGUCGGACCUUUGGUCCGACGUUACGGCGAACGAUCGCCGACGGCCUCUGGCCUGUAUGGGUGGCAUGCUCAAGCUUGAGUGUGGCAUCAAUACAGACCGAUAGGUCGUCGCCAAUUGUUUGGCGCGCCGUCCGCAGCGCAGCGACCGCAGGUCGCGACAGCGUGAGGACAAAAGAACCCGGCACGUCCGGGCGAGGCGGUGCAACCCGAAUGGUUUCCAAGUAUCGUUAAUAAGGUAUCUACACCUGAAUACAUAGGGUGUAAGAAGCGAACGCAGGGAACUGAAACAUCUAAGUACCUGCAGGAAAGGACAUCAACCGAGACUCCGCA